UUUUGCUCGUCUCUUUGUGCAAUGGUGGUGGAUGUUGAUUCCCAAGCAAACAGCCUAAUAACAAAGUUUAAGAGGAGACAAGUAAUAGGAACUUAUUGUGCAGCGGAAGAAUUCUUUUGUUCUUACGCGACGUCAUUAGUAAAAGUCGUUGGAAUAGCGCUCAGGAUUUAAUGGAUAAAAUAAAAUUAUAUAGUUCUCACUUUGAUAAAUCUCUUCCUAAUGAAAUGAUUAUCGGAAAUAUUUUCAGAAGAGUUCUUUUUAUUAUAAGAGAAGAAUACGAACAUGGUAGGAAAACUAAAACAAUUUCUA